rnacentral:sRNA from 1 species
GACGAGUAGAGUCUUACAACCGCCAUUCUGCCCGAAUAAAAUGUCAGUGUCCAAUCUAUCACCAACCAUGCAUAUCUGUGACUUUUGGAUUCC